AUUCCAUGAUGGGGACAUUCUAGGAUGUAGUCUUGAAAGCGCUCUCAUGCUUCUAGAAAAGAUUCAUCAUUCUGUUGUUGGAAACUUGUAAUCUUCCCACGGAGAGC
rnacentral:snoRNA from 1 species